AAUAGAUACCCCGGUAGUCCACGCCCUAAACGAUGUGUGCUAGUUGUCGGGCCCUUUAGGGUUCGGUGACGCAGCUAACGCUUUAAGCACACCGCCUGGGGAGUACGGUCGCAAGAUUAAAACUCAAAGGAAUUGACGGGGACCCGCACAAGCGGUGGAGCAUGUUCUUUAAUUCGAAGCAACGCGAAGAACCUUACCUACACUUGACAUACCUCUUGGGACUUUCAGAGAUGAUUGUUUUCGGUUCGGCCGGGGAGGAUACAGGUGCUGCAUGGCUGUCGUCAGCUCGUGUCGUGAGAUGUUGGGUUAAGUCCCGCAACGAGCGCAACCCUUAUCGUAUGUUGCCCAGCAUUUAGUUGGGCACUCAUGCGAGACUGCCGGUGAUAAGCCGGAGGAAGGCGGGGACGACGGUCAAGUCAUCAUGGCCCUUACGUGUAGGGCUAGAAACGUGCUACAAUGGUGGUCACAAUGGGCAGCGAAGUCGUGAGGCUAAGCUAAUCCCAAAAGCCAUCUCAGUUCAGAUUGUAGUCUGCUAAC
rnacentral:rRNA from 1 species